CCUCUCACGUGCCCGGCAUGUGGAUUGGAAGUAUCAUGUUGUUCGCGCAUCGCGCGUCAGCUUCCCAUCUGGUUUCGCCUGCCAGUGUCCCAUGUGACCGUCCGUCCUUCUCUCUGUGCGUCUGCUGCAUUUGCCUUCUUCCCGCUCCCUUCUCUCUCCAACUGCAUUUACUUCUCCCCACAAUGUUGCUCUGCCACUUACCCGCAUGCUCUGGAGCCUGCUGCAACAUUUUGUUGAGCUCUGGUAUUCGGUUCUCCCAAGCCCAUAGCCUUCUUACCGGCCAAGGAGCUGCCACCUUCGCUGUCGGCUGCAUCGGUACAGAUCUUGUGCCGUUCGUUGGCCUCUCCUCCUCUUUUGUUGUAAGCUCUCUUCUUUGUCUUUUAUUUUCCUUUCCAGUGAGGUCCGAUCCUCUCUUCAAGUUUCCUCUGUUCAUUUUUUUUCCCUGGCGUUCCUAUUUUUUUCCAUUGUCCGGUGACGUGCAGCUUUCUGUUUUUUUGCUCGGUCACUGUCUUCUUUCCGCCCAAGGAGGUGCCAUCUUCGCUGUUGGUUGCAGCUGUCCGGAUCUUCUUCCAUUCGUUUGGAUCUCUUCCUCUUCCUUCGGUUCCCAGCUUCAGUCCCUCGAUGCCUCCCUUUCCAACGCUUCCGACAAACUCACCCUUGCUGACCAAGAAAAGAUCCGAUUCUUAUAACCAACCCGACCAAGUCACUCAUCAUGAAUAUGAAGUCGAAACAGCAAAUGGAAGAACAAUUACAAAAAAAGGAAAACCAAAAGUACUGUAAUGUUUGCGGACCCAGGCAGACAUAAAAAACUAGAGACACCAAAAGCUGUUACACCUAGAGCUGUUACUAAGGGAACAAAGGGACAAGUUCAUACAAAUUCAUCUAAUAUAGGUGAUCUGUUUUCAGAAGGAUCUCUGAAUCCUUAUGCAGAUGAUCCCUAUGCAUUUGAUUAGAGGUAUCCCCGUUUCAUGUUAGUUCUAUUUGAAUUGCAGUACUUUAAUUAAUGUGCAGUUGACCUUUCCUGUAUUGGGUUAAUAGUUCAUGUACUCGGGUGCAAGAUUUACUCCAUAAACUAGACAAUUAUUUUUAUUUUUUUUGCUACUGGAAAUGGAAUGGGACAGCUUUUGAUUGUUAAACAUUUUCCUUUUUAUUAAGUAUGAAGUGUUUGGGUCGACUGUGAAGAAGCCAGUGCAAAAAAAAAAAAAGGAUUUGUCUACAAAAAAGGUUGCUUCUACCCACUGAUUAUUCUAUAAGAUUUAUUGCAUGCAUUGUUUUCUAUGUCCUGAGCUACAUUAGACGAGGAAACUUUUUUAAACGUUUAGCUUGUUCAAUAUUGAUCAGGUAUAAUGCUAUGAGAUCAUUUUGGUAAAUCUGCAGUCUGGCAUGAAUACUAAAUGUUCAGUUGUUCUUGAUACUGCUAAGGAGCUGUUUCUCUUAGUUAAGUUGUUUGUAGUAUCAAAUCACUGCUGCAUCUGGAUUUUGGCAGGAACUGUAUCAUGCAAUAGAAGGCUUUGCAAAUGGAGGAUGAAACUUUUUAAUUCUAGACAUUUUAGCACACAAAAAAUGUACAUUGCAACUGUAAUAAUGUUCCUUCAUUGAUAAACAAGAAUUAAAUGUUUGCAUGUGUCUGAAAUGCGAAAUUGCCUGUUUUCGUGGCUCCAAAACUCUUAUCUGGAAGUUUGAUUGCUAUAAUAACACAGAGCUCUUGUUAAAGAUGUAUGGCCAAUAUUGCAUUCCCCUCUGCAUCUUGAUUUUUUGUGAAAAGAAAUUAUGUUGAUUUUUCAUGUCACUUUUGUUUGUGCCUCCAAUCUUUUACCCCAACGGUAUCGUGCCACGUGAGAAAACUAAAAUCAAUUGAGGGUGUCUUGUCAACAUAUAAGACUAUUUGUAUACCUUGGUUGAGGUCAGGGAAUGUAUGAUUUCCCUAGGUGCAUCGUGGAUUUGUUAUUAGUUAUUAGUUUUUAAAAACUCUAUGUAUUCCUUGGUUUCCUUUUUUUUGGUGGUUAAUGUUAUUUUUGUUAUAGAGCAUGGAUCUGGCUCACUUUUCAUGAUGAUACUGGGUGUGUAAAUGUUAUUGCAUUAGGUGUCGAAGCUGAGAAGCUGAUUGGUGUUAGCGCGCUUGACAUGUUUGAGGCUGCUGACGAUGAGGUUAUGUGUUGCUCUAUUCUCAUGCAUAGAUACCUGAACUUGGAGAUUGUUCAACUAUGUAGCCAGACCUUUAAGUUGUACCAUCGUGUGGCUUGUCGAAUUGAACUGACCAGGCUCCUAUGCUAUUUCAAGCGUUCAUCCGAUGUGAUCAACAAAGUGACAUGCACUAAAUACGCUGUUGUUGCUUGCUACCCAGUUUAGAGAGGUUGUUUUUGGAUGCUUAUUUCUUGUGCUAUCUUGUCAGCUCGUGAACUUCUUUGAGCUUGUAGUGGCGUCGGUAUUAGUUUUGAGGCUUAUAUGCUAUUGAUACUAAUAGCAUUUAGUGGUUCUGUUCUUUUUAAAAAAUUUUCUUUGGGAUGCUUUGUUAUGCUGCCAGCUCAGAGCCUUUCUUCUUGGGCUGAGUUCUUAGGCAGCAGUAGUAUUUGGAAUAGUGAUAUGUAGACUAUAGACCACAUGUUUGUUACUUAGACGAUUCAUUCACUGGACAAUUACUAAACUUUGUUUUGUUUCUGCGUUUCUAAAGCCUAGAUCUUUGUAUA